CUCUCACGUGUUGGCUUGCUGUUUGUAUUGUGUCAAGUGUCAAGAGCGUCAUAGCGGGGGAAACCGGGGAAAGAAAAGAAUGAGAAAACAAUAAUACAUACACACAUACGACGCUACUGCUGUGAUUUUGACAAAACAUGAAGAGGAGGAAUUCUCCACGUUGUCGUUUCUUAUCUCGCCAAGAGAUUGUCCAGGCACACGCUGCUGUGAUUAAAGAGCUGGAAGCUGCAACAAGCUCAAGGCCAGUGCCAAUGGAAAGGAAUGAGAAAACUGAAGUAGUUCAUCGAGUAUGCAAACAACUCAUGGAAGUUAGCCAAUCCAUUAGAUUCUGCAAAAGCAACGUUGAAAAGGGAAGGAAUGCAGCUAAAAAGAAAUUACCAAAAAAGUAGAUGAGGCAUGGGAAUUGGAAGGGAUCAAUCAAAAUAAACAAAAUUAAUAAUAAAUAAAACUAUGCUUGAUACUUAAUCAUUA